rnacentral:rRNA from 1 species
CCUACGGGAGGCAGCAGUGAGGAAUAUUGGUCAAUGGGCGCGAGCCUGAACCAGCCACGUAGCGUGAAGGAUGACUGCCCUACGGGUUGUAAACUUCUUUUAUAAAGGAAUAAAGUGAGGCUCGUGUGCCUUUUUGUAUGUACUUUAUGAAUACGGAUCGGCUAACUCCGUGCCAGCAGCCGCGGUAAUACGGAGGGUCCGAGCGUUAUCCGGAUUUAUUGGGUUUAAAGGGAGCGUAGAUGGUUUGUUAAGUCAGUUGUGAAAGUUUGCGGCUCAACCGUAAAAUUGCAAUUGAUACUGGCAGCCUUGAGUACAGUUGAGGUAGGCGGAAUUCGUGGUGUAGCGGUGAAAUGCUUAGAUAUAACGAAGAACUCCGAUGGCGAAGGCAGCUUACUAAACUGCCACUGACAUUGAUGCUCGAAAGUGUGGGUAUCAAACAGGAUUAGAUACCCUGGUAGUC